CUGAGCUCUUCUCCAGACAAACUGCAGCUUUUCACACACCAACAUGUGCAACCUCUGCAUUUUACAGUCCCACGAAAUUUGAGGGGAAAAGGAUCUGAAAUCUGGCUUUCAUUAGUGCAACGAACAAAGCCAGAGAAGGACAGCAGCUCAGACUGGGAGCCUGAUGCAGAGCCAUCUCCAGGAAAUAGACGUCGCUCCUCCUCUGCUGCAACCAGUGCUUCUGC